AGCUUUGCGCAGUGGCAGCAUCAUAACCAAUGAGGUUUAUCCGAGGCGUGAUUAUUGCUGAUGGAAAAGUUACAUGUGGAUUUUCAACUGUGUGGGUGGUUGGUGCCCCUAGCCCCCACAUUGUUCAAGUGUCAACUAUAAUUAUUAUCCCCUGCUGGAAUCUAUGAAACCCCAGUGUGGAUGGG
rnacentral:snRNA from 2 species